rnacentral:lncRNA from 10 species
GAAAAAGAAAUCGCCCCCUCACCGUAGUCAGCCCUCCUUAAAACAGUAAUCCCUGCCUUUAAAAAAGGCGGUGGCAGGAUCCCUGGGUAAGGGUGGAUUGCCCCACCGCUCCACCAUUUGCCCCCAAUACUACGCCCACCCUAGGAGGAGAGAGCGGGGGUCGCACAAAUACACAUACCCGGACACCCCCAUUCUCUAGAGUCGCCUCUCUCCCGGGUCUGAGGUUUCAGGCGAGAAGUGAACCCAGCAGGAGAGGACCUCUGCCCGAGGAGGUCCAGAGGAGCAAACUGUGCGCUCCGGUGCCCGGGCGCCGGGCUCGCGGAAACGCGAGCGUGUCGCUCUGGCUCGGGAGGCGCCGGCAGCCGGAGCCGGGCGCAGGGCGAUUCCGGAGCAGCAAGAGGGGAAGACACCGCGGGGCGGACGGGGUCAGUUCCAGGGACUCACCUGGUCAUGUUGGCCCCGGGCAGCCGCCGCCACCGCCUCCCGCGCCGCCGCCAACACUUUCCUCCAGCGCCUUCGCGCCCCGCCACGGCCGCGCCGCCGCCUCCGGGCGGCCAAUUUAAUCCCGCGGAGCAGCGGCCGCCGCCGCCGAAGCCCCCCUGGUCGCCGCCGCCGCCCAGCCCUCGUGCGGCCAGCCCAGUCCAGAGCGAGGAAGUGGAAGAGAGUCAGCGAGUAAAGAAACGAAGACCCUGAGAAUUUAAAAUCAUCCAACUAUUUGGUGCCAGAAGCAGGACAAGAACUCAGACAUCAUGAUCCAGUGCCCUCCAUCCCACCAGCUAUUCAUCAUCACCUCCACAUUCUGGAUCAAAGAAGCCAGUUUUCCAACUUAUCAAUGAGCAAUACAUAUAGAAUAUUUUUAAAACUCCAAAUACUUUUAUGAAGGAAAAAUGAAGCAAUAGGACAAGACAUUUUCUUCGUUUCCUUCCAGCUCUAACAUUCUGUGAUAAAUAGCACACAGGAGCUUUGCUAUAGCACUACCCCCUCUAGUGCAUAAUUCAGCAUACGAUGAGUAUGAGUCUGUUUUGGACCCCAUCCAAAGGAGUUAGUUCCUAGAAGUACUUGGAAGAUUUAUUCUCAUUUAUCAUGAGGCAUCCUAACAGGAGACUAAAAAUAAUCACGAUGACAAUAAUAGUAAUCAGUUGUUACACUUGUAUUAUGUACUAAGCAUCGUGCUAAGCAUGUUAAAGUUCACCUGUUUUUGAAAAGGCACUUCAUGACCUUAUGUGGGUUGCGAAUCUAGUGGGUCAUAAACAAUUUCUGAAAUGAAAGAAAAGUAGGAAAAAACACAGAGUGCAUUAUACAUACUAAGUUGUUUUAUUUUUUAUUUUUUUAUUUUUUUUGCAAAACUUCCUUUUUGAUCAUGUGGCUAGUGAUUAAAAGUUUGGAAGCACUGCCUCGUUUCCAAUCUUAACUGCCUUGCUAGUUAAGUAUUAUUAGCCCCAUUAUAUAAGUGAGGAAACAGGACGAGAGAGGAUAAGUAAUUUGGCCAAGCUGACACAGUGAGUGGCCAAGCUAGAAUUUUGAACCUAGAUCUGUUUGACUUCAAAUCCAAUAUUUUCACUUCUAUAGUGAUGAUAAAUUAUUGACCAAGGUAUGGAAUAAAUUGUUGCUAAUCAUGUUUUCUUUGUGAGGACUACUGGGGUUUUUAUUAAAUCCAGCUAAAUGGAGAAACACAGCAUAGAUUCAAGUGACAUGUUCGGAAGAGAGUGAGGAAUUUCAUAAAACACUAAAUCUAAUAUCUAAGACCUUUUCCUGUAGGUGUUAGCUUAUGUCUAAUACACUUUAUUGACUUACUGCUAAAUACAUAAAUGAAACAAUAAUAGUUUCAGUCCUCAAAUAACAAUAUUCACUUCUACGUGUGUUUCUAUUUUUAUUUCAGAGAGUAUUUUUCAAAUUUAAGUUAUACAGCAUUUCUCAGUAGCUUGCUUUGGCCAAACACAGAACUAGCACAUAAGAAAGCUAAAAGGCCAGGCACUGUGGCUCACACCUGUAAUCCCAGCACUUUUGGAGGCCAAGGCAGGCAGAUCACUUGAGGUCAGGAGUUUGAAAUCAGCCUGGCCAACAUGGUGAAACCCGUCUCUACUAAAAAUACAAAAAUUAUCUGGGCGUGGUGGCACGUGUCUGUAAUCCCAGCUACUCGGGAGGCUGAGACAGGAGAAUUGCUUGAACCCAGGAGGUGGAGGUUGAAGUGAGCCGAGAUCACGCCAUUGCACUCCAGACUGGGCAACAGAGCCAGACUCUGUCUCAAGAAUAAAUUAAAAAGCAGCCAGACAACCCUAUCAUUCAAAUUCAAUUGUAAAGAAGAAAAGAAGAUAUUAAUUAAGGUGCCAUGCUAAAUUUUUUGACCCAUGUAGUUCUAUGGAUUCUACCAGUAACAUUGCAUGCUUAGGUGUCAUUACUCCCAUUCUGCAGAUUUGAAAGCUCAAACUCAGAACUAGCUGAUGAUUGAAAUCACCUGUUCUGAUUCCACUACCCAAAGAUUCUUUACAAACAAGUGGGCUUCCAGUAGAAAAGGAGGCAGCUGGAGAUUUUGAGACAUGUUGUGCAAUCAUUUAUGCUUUCUUUUUCCACGUGAAAAAAAUACACUUUCCUUUUCUUCAAGGCAGCAUCUCUUCUUGCUGUUAGGCAGCACUGUCCUCUUUAAGAAAAGAAAUCCACAUCUUCAUGGAUGAAAUUGGAAACCAUCAUUCUCAGUAAACUAUCGCAAGAACAAAAAAGCAAACACCGCAUAUUCUCACUCAUAGGUGGGAAUUGAACAGUGAGAUCACAUGGACACAGGAAGGGGAACAUCACACUCUGGGGACGGUUGUGGGGUGGUGGGGGGGAGGGAGAGCAUCGGGAGAUAUACCUAAUGCUAGAUGACGCGUUAGUGGGUGCAG